UGGGGAAUUUUGCACAAUGGGGGAAACCCUGAUGCAACGACGCCGCGUGAUUUAGAAGGCCUUCGGGUUGUAAAAAUCUUUUCUAUGGGAAGAAAAUGACAGUACCAUAGGAAUAAGGACCGGCUAAUUACGUGCCAGCAGCCGCGGUAAUACGUAAGGUCCGAGCGUUGUCCGGAAUCAUUGGGCGUAAAGGGUACGUAGGCGGGUAAGCAAGUUAGAAGUGAAAUCCUAUAGCUCAACUAUAGUAAGCUUUUAAAACUGCUCAUCUUGAGGUAUGGAAGGGAAAGUGGAAUUCCUAGUGUAGCGGUGAAAUGCGCAGAUAUUAGGAGGAAUACCGGUGGCGAAGGCGACUUUCUGGCCAUAACCUGACGCUGAGGUACGAAAGCGUGGGUAGCAAACAGG
rnacentral:rRNA from 1 species